rnacentral:rRNA from 2 species
UGCGUAGACGGUUUCGUAAGUCGGGUGUGAAAUCCCCGGGCUCAACCUGGGAAUUGCAUUCGAAACUGCGAGGCUAGGGUACGGAAGAGGGAAGCGGAAUUUCUGGUGUAGCGGUGAAAUGCGUAGAUAUCAGAAGGAACAUCAGUGGCGAAAGCGGCUUCCUGGUCCAGUACCGACGUUCAGGCACGAAAGCGUGGGGAGCAAACAGGAUUAGAUACCCUGGUAGUCCACGCCUUAAACGAUGAGAACUAGACGUUGAGAGGGUUAGCCUCCCAGUGUCGCAGCUAACGCGCUAAGUUCUCCGCCUGGGGAGUACGGCCGCAAGGUUGAA